UACGGAGGGGGUUAGCGUUGUUCGGAAUUACUGGGCGUAAAGCGCGCGUAGGCGGAUUGGAAAGUAUGGGGUGAAAUCCCGGGGCUCAACCCCGGAACUGCCUCAUAAACUUCCAGUCUGGAGUUCGAGAGAGGUGAGUGGAAUUCCGAGUGUAGAGGUGAAAUUCGUAGAUAUUCGGAGGAACACCAGUGGCGAAGGCGGCUCACUGGCUCGAUACUGACGCUGAGGAACGAAAGUAUGGGUAGCGAAAGGG
rnacentral:rRNA from 1 species